GAGUUUGAUCCUGGCUCAGGAUUAACGCUGGCGGCGUGCCUAAUACAUGCAAGUCGAACGGAAGUACCUUCGGGUACUUUAGUGGCGAACGGGUGAGUAAUACAUAGGUAACCUACCCUUAAGACGAGGAUAGCCAUUGGAAACGAUGGAUAAAACUGGAUAGGAUAUAGAGGAAGAAUCUUUUAUAUUUAAAAGAGAGAUCUGCUUAAGGAGGGGCCUGUGGCGCAUUAGCUAGUUGGUGGGGUAAGGGCCUACCAAGGCGAUGAUGCGUAGCCGGACUGAGAGGUUGAACGGCCACAAUGGAACUGAGAACGGUCCAUACUCCUACGGGAGGCAGCAGUAGGGAAUUUUCGGCAAUGGGGGGAACCCUGACCGAGCAACGCCGCGUGAACGAAAAGGUUAUUCGUAAUGUAAGUUCUU
rnacentral:rRNA from 1 species